rnacentral:lncRNA from 1 species
UAUCCAAUCCCUCAUUCCCGCUCUCCCGGCACGUCAUUCCCGUUAUUCCCGGUACCGUCGGAUCCGUCGUCGCGGGGCGGGGGCAGGUGGGGCACGCUCAGCGCCAGCAUCUCCCAGAGCGUGAGGCCGAAGGCGAAGACGUCGGCGCGGUCCGAGAUGGCCCCGCCCGGCUCCAGCGCCUCGGGCGGCGACCACGGCUCCGUGCCCACGUAGCACAGGGAGGGGUCACUCACUAAAACAGGGAGAA